UUCUACAUGCAAGUAUGAGAUUUCAUUUGUCAGGAGAACCAACAAGUAACCACCCUGUUAGUGUGAGCCUAGAAAUUCGCUAGUGUUAGGUUCUGGAUUUGGGCUAUGGCGUUGUCGAAGGUGAUGGCGACCUCGUCAACGACGAAUCCCGAUCCGCCACGUCAACCCUCUUUAUGUUCCUCUCUCUCCAUCCCGCUCGCCGAUCUCCAAAACCAAAAUCAAAACCAAAACCAAUUCUCUUCUUCUCAGAGCCGUUUGCUCUCCGUGACUAUGGACGAUCUCUUGAAAAACAUCUACUCUUACCCUACUCAACUGACACCAAACGAUCUCCACGUGCCAUCCUUCUCCAGUGGCGCGUCUAUCUCACGCGACGGCGGCUUCCCUUUGCUUAAGGAGGCUGCUAGCAAGUCCGUUGAUGAAGUUUGGAAGGAGAUAGUGGCUGGCGGGGAUCAGAGGCGGGAGGGAAAUUGUGGUGGUGGUGGUGGAGGAAUCGAGGGGAUGACUUUGGAGGAUUUUUUGACUAAGGCCGGUGCGGUGAGGGAGGAGGAUGUUAGAGGGGUUGGAGUUCCGGUUCAGGUGGGGGCGGCUGUAGGAGCUUAUGGUGUGGAUAGCAAUAGCAAAAUAACCAAUGAUAAUAAUAAUUAUGACAACGGAGAAUUUCAAGGGGCGGGAAAUGGGAUGAUGAUGGUGGCGGAAGGAGGAAAAGGGAGGCAGAAGAGGAGGGCUGUGGAGGAGCCUCCAAUGGAUAAGGCCACCCAGCAGAAGCAGAGGAGAAUGAUCAAGAAUCGUGAAUCUGCUGCCAGGUCUAGGGAACGUAAACAGGCUUACACUGUUGAGCUAGAAUCCUUGGUGACACAACUUGAGGAGGAGAAUUCACGUCUAUUAAGGGAAGAGCCUUUUUCUCUUCAUACUUCUUAAUGUCAAGCGAUUGGCCUCAAAACAAUUUUUUUUUCUCUCCAAUUAAGAAGGUUGAGCAAAAGAAGAAGAGAUUUAAAGAGAUCAGUCACCCUACUGAUGUGACUAAGUGCAAAUCCAAAGGAACGCAUAUCUGAUGUAUAUGAUGAACAAAAUUUAGAUUAAGAAACGGUGGGAUCAUGCUGUGUAAGAUUUGGUGUUCUGAUGUGGGAAUGUGGCGUUUGUAAUUUAGAGUAACAAACAAUGGGGUCAUGCUGUGUGGGAUUGAUCGUUGAUGUGACUCGAUUGCGACUCUUGUACAUUUCAGCCAUCUCCUCCAAAAGCUUAGCUUAUGGAGAACCUCAUUCCUGUCGUUGAGAAGCGAAGGCCACCACAUGUUCUUCGUAGGGUAAAUUCUGUGCAGUGGUAGAUAUGGUUCCAAUAUAGUGGUUGUUAAUUGUUUUCUUGGUUUUCAAUUUAUCUAUAGAAUAUAUUGAGGGAUCCAAGUUAAAAGAAGCGGAAACGUCCAAUUAUCCUCCAGUAAUUUGGGCUUCAAUGGUAAAGUUUCUGUGUUAUUAGUAUU